rnacentral:rRNA from 1 species
CCCCUAGAGGAGCCUGUUCUAUAAUCGAUAAUCCACGAUCUACCUCACCAUCUCUUGCCAAUACCGCCUAUAUACCGCCGUCACCAGCCUACCCUAUGAAGGAUAUAAAAGUAAGCAAAAUAGCACAACAGCUAACAAGUCAGGUCAAGGUGUAGCUUACUGAGAUGGAAGAAAUAGGCUACAUUUUCUAAACUAGAAAUCAUUUCACGGAAAGAACUAUGAAACAAGUCCUAUAAGUGGGAUUUAGCAGUAAAUAGGGAUCAGAAUGCCCAAUUUAAGCCGGUCCUAAGGUACGC